rnacentral:rRNA from 1 species
GCUUAUACUCGACCGUCAGCGGCACGUGCGAUCGCGCGUUUCGGCGUGCGGUCACGAAGCCCUGACGAGUAGGAGGGUCGCGGCGGUGAGCGCAGAAGGGCUGGCCGCGAGGCCGUCUGGAGCCGCCGUCGGUGCAGAUCUUGGUGGUAGUAGCAAAUACUCCAGCGAGGCCCUGGAGGACUGACGUGGAGAAGGGUUUCGUGUGAACAGCCGUUGCACACGAGUCAGUCGAUCCUAAGCCCUAGGCGAAAGCCGAUGUCGAUGCGGUGUGGAUUUAUAUAUCUUUUUUUUUACGACGGCGACGACGACGACGACCACGUCGACGACGACGAAGAACGAGAUAAUAGUUAAUUCGUUUCUUCGACGUACGACGACGGUGGCGGCGACGACGACGACGACGACGUAUACACGAGAAGUUUCGAUCGAACACACCCAUCGGGCGAAAGGGAAUCCGGUUCCUAUUCCGGAACCUGGCAGCGGAACCGUCAAAAAGUCGGGC